UAUGAAUAAGGAUCGGCUAACUCCGUGCCAGCAGCCGCGGUAAUACGGAGGAUCCGAGCGUUAUCCGGAUUUAUUGGGUUUAAAGGGUGCGUAGGCGGCCUUUUAAGUCAGCGGUGAAAGUCUGUGGCUCAACCAUAGAAUUGCCGUUGAAACUGGGGGGCUUGAGUAUGUUUGAGGCAGGCGGAAUGCGUGGUGUAGCGGUGAAAUGCAUAGAUAUCACGCAGAACCCCGAUUGCGAAGGCAGCCUGCCAAGCCAUGACUGACGCUGAUGCACGAAAGCGUGGGGAUCAAACAGGAUUAGAUACCCUGGUAGUCCACGCAGUAAACGAUGAUCACUAGCUGUUUGCGAUACACUGUAAGCGGCACAGCGAAAGCGUUAAGUGAUCCACCUGGGGAGUACGCCGGCAACGGUGAAACUCAAAGGAAUUGACGGGGGCCCGCACAAGCGGAGGAACAUGUGGUUUAAUUCGAUGAUACGCGAGGAACCUUACCCGGGUUUGAACGCAUUCGGACCGAGGUGGAAACACCUUUUCUAGCAAUAGCCGUUUGCGAGGUGCUGCAUGGUUGUCGUCAGCUCGUGCCGUGAGGUGUCGGCUUAAGUGCCAUAACGAGCGCAACCCUUGCCACUAGUUACUAACAGGUAAAGCUGAGGACUCUGGUGGGACUGCCAGCGUAAGCUGCGAGGAAGGCGGGGAUGACGUCAAAUCAGCACGGCCCUUACAUCCGGGGCGACACACGUGUUACAAUGGCGUGGACAAAGGGAGGCCACCUGGCGACAGGGAGCGAAUCCCCAAACCACGUCUCAGUUCGGAUCGGAGUCUGCAACCCGACUCCGUGAAGCUGGAUUCGCUAGUAAUCGCGCAUCAGCCAUGGCGCGGUGAAUACGUUCCCGGGCCUUGUACACACCGCCCGUCAAGCCAUGGGAGCCGGGGGUACCUGAAGUCCGUAACCGCGAGGAUCGGCCUAGGGUAAAACUGGUGACUGGGGCUAAGUCGUAACAAGGUAGCCGUACCGGAAGGUGCGGCUG
rnacentral:rRNA from 1 species